rnacentral:rRNA from 1 species
GAGUUUGAUCCUGGCUCAGAACGAACGCUGGCGGCGUGGAUAAGACAUGCAAGUCGAGCGCGACAUACAGGGUAGCAAUAUUCUGUAUGUUGAGCGGCGAAAGGGUGCGUAACACGUGGGCAAUUUGCCAUAAAGUUGGGGAUAACUCGCUGAAAGGCGAGCUAAUACCGAAUGUGAUUUUUGAGAGGCAUCUCUUGGAAAUUAAAGUUGGGGACCGUAAGGCCUGACGCUUUAUGAUGAGCCCGCGGCCUAUCAGCUAGUUGGUGAGGUAACGGCCCACCAAGCCUGCGAUCAGUAACUGGUGUGAGAGCACGACCAGUCACACGGGCACUGAGACACGGGCCCGACUCCUACGGGAGGCAGCAGUAAGGAAUAUUGGUCAAUGGACGCAAGUCUGAACCAGCCAUGCCGCGUGAAGGAUGAAGGUCCUCUGGAUUGUAAACUUCUUUUAUCUGGGACGAAAUCACGUUAGUCGUAGCGUGUUGACGGUACCAGAGGAAUAAGCACCGGCUAACUCCGUGCCAGCAGCCGCGGUAAUACGGAGGGUGCAAGCGUUAUCCGGAUUCACUGGGUUUAAAGGGUGCGUAGGAGGGCAGGUAAGUCAGUGGUGAAAUCCCCGUGCUUAACAUGGGAACUGCCGUUGAUACUAUCUGUCUUGAAUCCCGUGGAGGUGAGCGGAAUAUGUCAUGUAGCGGUGAAAUGCUUAGAUAUGACAUAGAACACCGAUUGCGAAGGCAGCUCGCUACACGGGUAUUGACUCUGAGGCACGAAAGCGUGGGGAUCAAACAGGAUUAGAUACC